CUCCCCUGAGAAUCCAGGUUCCUGACUUCUGGUCUCCUGCACGCUCGGUGCUAUGCAGUGUCAGCCCAGUGUCUGGCUCACAGCAGCCCUGGUGAGUAUCUCUUGGGGAGUACCUUUACCACCUGUGUAUUACAGCUUCCCAAGGAUUCGGAGUAAGGGAAAGAAGCCAUUUAAACAAAAUUACUUUUGAAACACAGAUGAGCUCACAAUCUAGAAAAAAAAAAUGGUGCUUGGCAGGAAAUGUUUAGGAUUUGGCAGAUUCUGAAGGUCACAUUGUUUGAUGCUUCCAUAAACCUGCUGCUUCUCCUCUUCCCUAAACAUCAGCUCCCAAGAGAGAAGGUCAGCCCAGGGCUCUCCAGGCGAUGACAGUUCCUUGGAUAACAUGCAACCUUUUCUGGAAGGCCCAUUCCCUCAGCGCUCAGCUCAGCACCCAUCCAGAGCACCUCACUUCCCUUCUCACCAUGGUUUCCCUACCAAUAGAUUCCACACGCACAUAGGGUGAUAGAGGGUCAGUUCAGCUGACCAUGUUUCCCAGCAAUGGACAAUAGAUUCCUCACUGGGGAGAAAGGAGUCUUUUGACCUGGGAUUCCCCUUGUCUCUAAUGAGCCACUAGGGGCCAUGGUACAGGCAGCCAAUCCUAAGGACUCUCCCUCUCCUCUGGUUCUUCAGCCUGGUUUUUCAGUCUGCACACUACUUGGUUUACGGUGCCUGGAGAACCUGAAGCCAAAAAGAUGCUUACCCCUGACUUCUCUGAUUUCAGGGUUCCUUACUACCUAAUGUCCACCCCUGGUUCAUAAUCAGCUUGAAGGAAGACACAACCAAAACUCUACCUUUGCACCGGCUGUGAAAUGGGAUCAGAGGAUUCCGGUAAAAGUUUGUUAGGCCGAGUGGGACAUAUCCAAGGCCUCCUAAGAAAGGAGGCUGGAUGUAGCUGUGGAGCCACUUCUGGAGGUCUGGAUAAGCAUGGGUAAAGCAUGCCUCCCACCUGCAAUUUGCAGACCAUACUGUGUGGCCUUAAAGCCCUGGGAUCAGUGAGGAGGCCCCGGGCCAAAAUUCUGGUUCAAACUGUGAGCCCAAACAGAUAGGCUUUCAUUAUGGUAGAAAAAAAAUGUAUCAAGUGAGUGGGUGUUUGUUUUGGUUUUUAGAAUAUUAACAUGGUUUAAUACCGUCGUCUGGAGGGUUUAGAAGAAUGACAUACGUAGCAAAGUUCUUGGCACCCAGUAGGAACUCAAUAAAUGAUAGCUAUUGAAUUUCCCUCUUCUCUGUCCAGCAGGAAGCGCAGACCUGCCCACUCUGGGCCUUCCUCCUUGGGAGCCUGAUGCGUUUUGCAGCGAAGCCGCCCUUCCCCCAACUCAGCCACCUCUGAGUGCUGGUUGUGCCCCUGCCUCGGUAACUGGGUCAUCUCUUCCCUGUCUCCGGCACUCAGCAGAGGAAAUCAAAUGAGUGUUAAUUGAGGGCUGGGUUCAUCAAAACUACUGCUCUUUUCUGGUGUGCUUUAUUUAAGUGUAAGCCAAUCCAAGCUUACCAUGGGGUUUCUAUGUAACUGAGAGUUCCCAGUGCUUUGUGGCAGGGCUCGCAUUCAUUCCAGACAAAGCAUAAUGAGCCGCAAUCUCACAUUACCUAAUCACAUGGAGGCAGCGCGGAUCACAAUGCCGUAUUUGGCAUUUCUGUGGUGCGCUCCAUCUGAGGAGCUCAAAGGGCUUAAAGAAAACCCUUUCUUUAUUUGGGAAGUAUUAUUAUCUGGGUUUUACAGAGAGAGAUACCGAGAGGUGAAGUGACCUGCUUUAAGACCACACAGCAAGACGUCUCUGGGCUGAGAGGGAGCCCAGCAGCUGACAGGCCCUCCUUGGCCAGACUUCACAGGCUCAAAACAGAAAGCUGCUCACACAGAGCCUGUCCUCACCGGGCCCCGUGGGGGACUCACGCAGGAGACGGAACUCAAUAGCAGAGAUGGAGGCAGAGGGAAUUUAAAAGCAUCCGCCGGAGGAAAGGUGUGCAAAGACCUGGCUCAGCCCCGAGGGAGCAGACUGCAGGAUGAGUUGCGCUGACAGAGCACGAAGCCGUGAACUGUGUUCAGCAGACCAGGAGAAGGUGAACUUGAAUAAGAAGUCCCAGAUGCCCUGUGAACAACCAUUAGUAAAGCAUUGUUGGAUGGGGACUGCCAGGAAGCAGAAUUUGAUGACAGCUUUUGGGUUUGACUUGCCAGUGAGCAUGUUUGGCCGGGUGUGGGGCUUCCGUGGUGUAGCUGGCCCGCGGCCUUGGAUUUCUUCCCGUUUUCAAUGGGCGCACUGCAUUUCCCAAAUGGACUCUUGCAAAGGGCAUCUCACAAGUCUGUGUGUGUAAGUGUACGUGUGUGUAAGUGUACGUGCGUGCACACGUAGAAAACAGCCCGCUUCUUGGAUGUCCGGCCUUUAAAAUGACAUCAAAUCACCCUCGUCACCAUCUGCAAACAUGCCUUGAGCACUCAGUAUUGCAAAGCACCGUUCUAGAUGUCAUGAGGAAUGCAACAAAAUAGGGUUCCUUCUGUGGCUUUCAGAGGUUUACAGACUCAGUUAGGCAGAUAAAAUCAAUAAUAUCCCAUUUAUAUCAGUCCAGUUUCUUGAUUGUAUGCCUUGGAAAUCAACUCUGGUUAAGCUGUAUUCCAGGUGGGAGGACCUGAUGAGCUCUCUUCCAGGUAGGGUGACACUAGAUGCAUGUGUCUGGAAUGCAGCCUGAGGAAGUUAGUCAUGUCUGGAGCAGGGUGUGUCUAAUGACCCAGGUGGAAAACGGUGUACUCACAGAAUGUGACCACAAAAAAAGAUGUUGAAGGCAGGCACAGUGGCUCAUGCCUGUAAUCCCAGCACUUUGGGAAGCCAAGGUGGGCGGAUCACAA